rnacentral:misc_RNA from 1 species
AUUGAACAAGAUUCCAAUAAAAUCCACUUGACAGUUCAUACAGAAAUUGGCAUUGAACUGAAACACAAUCAAGUAAGAAACAUGGAUUGGUAUGAUUUUAGAAGGAUAAAAGAAAUACCUCAGCUGAUGCUGACUUGUAUAGAUCGCUGUGAGUUCUGUAAGUUAGAUUGCAGAUUUACUUUAUUUACCAAGGAAUCAGAUAAAACAUAUGAUUAUAAUAGGUCAUUUUAGUUAUU